rnacentral:rRNA from 1 species
GUAGUUAGCCGGGGCUUUCUUACAGGGUACCGUCACUUCUUCGUCCCCUGCGACAGAGGUUUACAAUCCGAAAACCUUCUUCCCUCACGCGGCGUUGCUGGGUCAGGCUUGCGCCCAUUGCCCAAUAUUCCCCACUGCUGCCUCCCGUAGGAGUCUGGACCGUGUCUCAGUUCCAGUGUGGCCGAUCAGCCUCUCAGCUCGGCUACCCAUCGUCGGCUUGGUGGGCUGUUAUCUCACCAACUACCUAAUGGGACGCGAACCCCUCUAAAAGCGAUAAAUCUUUGACCUCUUCCCGAUGCCGGGUUGUGGUCUUAUGCGGUAUUAGCAGUUGUUUCCACCUGUUAUUCCCCACUCUUAGGCAGGUUGUUCACGCGUUACUCACCCGUGCGCCACUAGAAUUAUCAAUUCCAUCCGAAAACUUCCUUAAUAAUCCCCGUUGACUUGCAUGUGUUAGGCACGCCGCCACGCGUUCGUCUCGAGCGACGAGUACAACUACUCGA